rnacentral:rRNA from 1 species
CACCUUAUGUGUGUGAUGAUGUGCUUUUUGUAGAACGAGCCAACGAGUUACGGUAUGUAGCGAGGUUAAGUACUUAAGGUACGGAGCCGAAGGGAAACCGAGUCUUAAUAGGGCGACUAGUGCCAUGCUGUAGACCCGAAACCGGGUGACCUAUCCAUGGCCAGGUUGAAGCGAGGGUAAAACCUCGUGGAGGACCGAACCACGUUGCUGUUGAAAAAGCAUGGGAUGAGCUGUGGAUAGCGGAGAAAUUCCAAUCGAACUCGGAUAUAGCUGGUUCUCCUCGAAAUAGCUUUAGGGCUAGCGUCGGAAAAUGUGAGUAGUGGAGGUAGAGCACUGAAUAGGCUAGGGGGCAUAGCGCUUACGAACCUUAUCAAACUCCGAAUGCCACAUACUAUCAGUCCGGCAGUCAGACUAUGAAAGAUAAGUUCCAUGGUCAAAAGGGAAACAGCCCAGAUCGUCAGCUAAGGUCCCAAAGUGUAAGUUAAGUGGAAAAGGAUGUGGGAUUUCUAAGACAACUAGGAUGUUUGGCUUAGAAGCAGCCACUCAUUAAAAGAGUGCGUAAUAGCUCACUAGUCAAGAGAUCCUGCGCCGAAAAUGUCCGGGGCUCAAACUUACCACCGAAGCUACGGGUUCACGCUUAUGCGUGAGCGGUAGAGGAGCGUCGUAAUCGGGCUGAAGUCGUACCGUAAGGAGCGGUGGACUGAUUACGAGUGAGAAUGUUGGCAUUAGUAGCGAGAUGUAGGCGAGAAUCCUACAGGCCGAAUAUCUAAGGUUUCCUGAGUAAAGUUUGUCUUCUCAGGGUUAGUCGGGACCUAAGGCGAGGCCGAAAAGGCGUAGUCGAUGGACAAUUGGUUGAUAUUCCAAUACCACUAUAAUCGUUAUUAUCGAUGGUGUGACGGAGAAGGAUAGGAUGUGCUAGCUAUUGGAUGCUAGUCUAAGCGUUUAGGGAGUUGGGAUUGGCAAAUCCGUUCCAACAAUUCUGAGGCGUGAUGGGGAAGGUUCUACGGAACCGAAGUAUCUGAUUCCAUGCUUCCAAGAAAAGCAUCUAGAGAGAGAAGUAGUGCCCGUACCGCAAACCGACACAGGUAGAUGAGGAGAGAAUCCUAAGGCCGACGGAAGAAUUGCAGUUAAGGAACUAGGCAAAUUGACCCCGUAACUUCGGGAGAAGGGGUGCCUGAGAAAUCAGGCCGCAGAGAAUAGGCACAAGCAACUGUUUAACAAAAACACAGGUCUCUGCUAAAGCGAAAGCUGAUGUAUAGGGGCUGACGCCUGCCCGGUGCUGGAAGGUUAAGGGGAACACUUAGUGGUAACGCGAAGGUGUGAACUUAAGCCCCAGUAAACGGCGGCCGUAACUAUAACGGUCCUAAGGUAGCGAAAUUCCUUGUCAGGUAAGUUCUGACCCGCACGAAUGGCGUAAUGACUUGUGCACUGUCUCAACUGCAAAUCCGGCGAAGUUGUAGUGCGAGUGAAGAUGCUCGCUACCCGCGAUUGGACGGAAAGACCCCGUAGAGCUUUACUGUAGCUUAGCAUUGAAUUUCGGUAUUGUCUGUACAGGAUAGGUGGGAGACUGGGAAACUAGGGCGUCAGCCUUGGUGGAGUCGUUGUUGGGAUACCACCCUGAUAGUAUUGAAGUUCUAACUGGAUGCCAUGAAACUGGUGACAGGACAUUGUUAGGUGGGCAGUUUGACUGGGGCGGUCGCCUCCUAAAAUGUAACGGAGGCGCCCAAAGGUUCCCUCAGAACGGUCGGAAAUCGUUCGAAGAGUGUAAAGGCAGAAGGGAGCCUGACUGCGACACCUACAAGUGGAGCAGGGACGAAAGUCGGGCUUAGUGAUCCGGUGGUACCUCGUGGGAGGGCCAUCGCUCAACGGAUAAAAGCUACCUCGGGGAUAACAGGCUGAUCUCCCCCAAGAGUUCACAUCGACGGGGAGGUUUGGCACCUCGAUGUCGGCUCGUCGCAUCCUGGGGCUGAAGUAGGUCCCAAGGGUUGGGCUGUUCGCCCAUUAAAGCGGCACGCGAGCUGGGUUCAGAACGUCGUGAGACAGUUCGGUCCCUAUCCGUCGCGGGCGUAGGAAAUUUGAGAGGAGCUGUCCUUAGUACGAGAGGACCGGGAUGGACUGACCUAUGGUGUACCAGUUGUUUCGCCAGAAGCAUAGCUGGGUAGCUAAGUCGGGAAGGGAUAAACGCUGAAAGCAUCUAAGUGUGAAGCCCACCUCAAGAUGAGAUUUCCCAUAGCAUAAGCUAGUAAGACCCCUUGAAGACUACAAGGUUGAUAGGUCAGAGGUGUAAGUGCGGCAACGUAUUUAGCUGACUGAUACUAAUAGGUCGAGGGCUUGACCAA